UUGGACCUCCACCGUCAUUUCAAUGGCAC
rnacentral:piRNA from 1 species